AUUAUUUGCUCAGUUGUGCAGUUCUCAGUUACUAUUUGCAUCCAUUUUAAGCUAGCUACAAGGUCCCAUCGUGCUCAUGUUUUCUUUAGUAGCUUCUUCAUGUGCUCGGAUGAUUAGCAGACCGUUACCUCAGCAAGCUACGUCUGUAGCUACUACCACCGCAGGCCAACAGCCAGCUGAAAAGGAACUUGAGGAGUCGUUUGGUACAAACAAGAACAAACAAGUGAUGACAGCUACAAUGCUGAUCCAGAUGAGGACUACUACACUGUAGGUACGCAAUACACUAUAUGGGUCUCCUUUUAAUUGAUGCUCAUAUUGUACUAUUGUAUAUCAAACAAUGUAAUUAAGUCAGACUCAAUUGCUAACCAAUUAAUGUAUAAAAAAUUAAAAUAUUUAUCUAAUUUUCUCUUGUCUUCUGAUGCCCUCAUUGCGGUGUUAAGCUUAAUGAGAACCUGCUGUCAUUCUUUUUGGGUUGUUUUUCUUCUCAAAUUUGGAACAGGCAACACUGUAUGUCCUCACACAUGAAGUUGAUUGUGAACAACAGGAGCAAGCAAUUCAGUUCUUUUAUUGUCCCUAUAAUACCUUGACAUUAUUCCUCUUUUAUUUAAUGAAUGCGAGUAAUUUUAGUUA